rnacentral:misc_RNA from 1 species
GAUGAAGAACGUAGCGAAAUGCGAUACGUAAUGUGAAUUGCAGAAUUCAGUGAAUCAUCGAAUCUUUGAACGCAAAUUGCGCUCUCUGGUAUUCCGGAGAGCAUGCUUGUUUGAGUAUCAGUAAACACCUCAACUCCCCUUUCUUUUUUUGAAAUGGGAGCUGGACUUGAGUGAUCCCAACGCUUUUCUCACCGAAAAGUGGCGGGUUACUUGAAAUGCAGGUGCAGCUGGACUUUUCUCUGAGCUAAAAGCAUAUCUAUUUAGUCUGCCUAAAAAACAGAUUAUUACCUUUGCUGCAGCUAACAUAAAGGAGAUUAGUUCUUGUGCUGACUGAUGCAGGAUUCACAGAGACAGCUUCGGCUGGCCUUUGUAAACUCGAUCUCAAAUCAAGUAAGACUACCCGCUGAACUUAAGCAUAUCAAUAAUCGGAGGA